rnacentral:lncRNA from 1 species
CUUCUUCUUCUUCCUCUUCCUCCCCUUCCCCUUAGUCCAGGAAGGCUAGGUUAAGGUCUGGAAAGCAUGCUACAAUCUUUCUGUGAUAGUUAUUCUGUCCGGUGCCGUAGGCUUCGUGGUCGAACUCUACCUUCGUCUGAAGAAUUCCUCCAACUCCCAGAAGGCUUCAAUCGCCCGAUGCCCAGCCUCAGCAAUCUGGCUCUCCACCUUUUUCUUGGCCUCCGCAACCUUUGCCUGGGCCGUCCAUCACUUCUUCUUCUCUGAGGCUAGGUCAGAUUCGGCUUUUGCCUUGGUAGCUUCGGCCUUGUCCAGCACCUCUUUCAGGUGCUUGGCUUCGGCUUCAACGGCUUUAAUCUUGGAUCGUGUUUCGGCUGCAACAGCUUUUGGCUUUUUCUCCACCUCGAUAGCCUCCA